UUGUAACCAAACAACCUCUAAGCGUUUAUACUUGUUCAGCCAAAGAAAAUAGUAGAGUUAGUAACCUUAGUUGUCUUGGUGAUAUCAUUUAUGUUCGUACCGCUUCUCAUGAAACAGAUUCAACAUCCAAUAAGUCUUUGACUAGGGAAGGGGAGAAUUCCCCCUAUUGCUGGCAGGCUAUCCCAACCCGUGGGCGUUGUGGGAACGAGCUUCCAAGUCAGAUUUGUGUCACGCCCCGAAAUUAGGGUGGGACUUGAUGGUGCUCUACCUUAUACGUCGAGCAAGUCAUGUUAUUUAACCAUACAUGCUAAUAAGGUUAUUUAAACAUACCAAGUACGAAUAAACUCUUAUAUUAAAACUGUCUGAAAAAUAACUAAUGAACAUUUAGCAAACUAAUGUCUGAAAAUCUAACUCAUCAAUGACAGUUAUGAGCCUCUAAAGACUAAGACUAAAGCAAUGUCUUCGAAGCAUUCCUCUCAAUUAAUAAAGUAUCUAAAUAACUAAAAGUUUGAAGAUAAUCGAGUACUGCUAGCGGGAAUCAACAAAGUCUAUCUACCGGAUCCAUGGAAAGUCUGAAAUCUAGCCAUGAGCUUCAUCACCUACAGGCUCAACACCUUCCAUACGAUGUAGUACGCCCCAACAGGCUAAGUAUCUCCAAAAGUACCUAACAAGUAUUUUUUAUCACACCCUAAAUGGAAGAUAAGACUUUGAACUAAACAGUUACAAUAAGAUUGCAAUAAGCAUAACUUGCAAUUAAAUAAAUUAACACUGUAAUUUAAAAAUUGAACUGAAACAUGAAAUUUGAGUCAAGUUCUGAUAAUUUGAUAUAGUUGAAUUUUUUUAUUCUGAAAAUUUUAUCUAACAUGCAAUAGUACGUGCUAGCGAGUGUGAGAAGGACUGGCCAAAUCUUUGCCCCUGGCGACUUUUUAACUCAAAAAAGUUGAUCACUUCUUCCAAAUAUAUAAAUCUGAACAAACAAUGGAACUUGCAUGUGUGAGGAUGGCUGGCCCAUUCCCUGACCCUUGGCGGCUUUUACGCUUGGGGGGAUCGGCCACUUCUCCCAAACAAAUAAAUCUGAAGACAUGGAGUACCUACAAGUAUAGGGUACCUAAUCGCGGCCACUAUAGGUCUGACACUUAGGGAGGUUGGCUAUUUCUCCCAAAACGUAUGUGAUCGUAUAACCUGAGCUGAAUCAGAAUUAAAUACAGCAAGCAAUGUCAUAACAUCAAUCAAAUCAAACAAGAAAUUCAAUUACUUUUGAUAUUCCGAGCUAACUGAGUCAUCAAACAAGACAAUUCAAUUUCUAUAAAAUAAUCUGUAUCAUGAAGUAAUAAUAGAGUCUAACAUUUAAGCAAUCAAGAGUUGUUCAAACAACUGUCUAAUAUUUAUAGUUAAGGACGUUUAAGCGCUUCCUUAAUUAUCAAAUAAUUUUCUUAGUACGCAUUUUCUUUUCUGACCUUGGACUUAGGGAAUCAUAAACGCAGUUUACCUUAUCAACUAGCAAGAAUCUCCUCUCAACGUACAUGUGUAUUCAAUCUUCUCGAAAGUCUACGAUAAGUAGUUAAAACCGUUAACGCAAUUAUAAUUUCAAUCUAUUCUCCUAAAUUUAGGUAUUUCUCCGCCAUAAGUGGUUUAGAUCGAUUCUAACCAUGAACUUUGUUAUUCUUAUGAACUAAAGAUCGUUAUACACUAUAAAUUUUCUAACUUUAAUAGCAGAGAGCAAAAGAAUUACCUUGAAUGAUAUCUCCACAAAUCCUAAAUUUCGGAUCUUGAAGAACUCUUUGAUUCUUGGGUGGAAACCUAGGUUUUAGAAUUUAAAAGGUAUUAAACAACGUUAAUCUCUUAUUUUUAACUUGAAUUUAUGGUAGGGAUCUUACCUUAGGUGGAUUGAGGAAGCCCUAGGUAGUUCUUGCUAUCAAAAAUCAUCUUUAAAAUGCUGUAGAAAUAACUAGGUUUUUUUCUCGCCUAGAAGUGCCCUUUUAUUUUAUGCGUUUCAAAGUCAUACAUGUCGAAAUUUAGCCUACCGCAUCG
rnacentral:lncRNA from 1 species